UUCAGCUGGGGAUUUACACUAGUAAAAUGAAAAUUUACUUUCCAAAAUUAACAGGAUCAAUUUUCGUAGAAGCUCUAUUUAUAAGCACAAGAAAUUGGAAACAAGCCAAAUGUCUUUCAGCUGAUGAAUGGACAAACCAAUUGUGGCAUAUCCAUACAAUGGAGUACAAUGCAGCAUCAAAAAGAAACACACCGUAGACACCUGCAACAACUUGGAUUAAUCUCAGAGGGAUUAUGGUGCUGGCCAUGCAGGGACUUGGUCUCUGAAUGAGAUGAAGAGCCAUUAGCCUAUGAGCAGAGGAGCAGCAUAACAGGACUUCCGUUUUCAAGACACCUCUUUGGCUGUGAUGUUAGGAAUGAGGUAGAAACAGGGAGACCAGUUAGAAGGUUGUCACCAUAAUCAAGGUACCAGCAUGGGAGGGGUGAAAAGCAAUCAGCCUCCGGAUAUACUUUAAAGAGAGAAGAAACGGAAGAAUCAUCCAUGGAGUUAAGGUGAAAGCAGCACAAAUAGAGGAAAGUUUUAAAAAAAUUGUUCACUAGGGAGGUAUUUCCUGAAUAGAACUUCCUAACUGCAGCUACAGACCAUGUUAAAAGUGAUUGAUUUGCCUUAGCUACUGGCACAAAAUAUGGAGAGCAUUUCAAAAAGGUUCUUUAUAGUAAAACUUUGUUUUUCCUCUAUGACUUAUAAUAGUGAUUUAUUGAGAAAAUUCACCGUUUUCCAAUGAUAGAUGCAGUCCAAUCUUCCAGUUUAUAACAUUUUCUGAGUAACUUUAUCAAAUCAAGGAGUCUUUCUUCAUCAAAAUGAAAUCACAGAUAUACAUUAAAUAUGUG
rnacentral:lncRNA from 10 species